rnacentral:rRNA from 1 species
GACGAACGCUGGCGGCGUGCCUAAUACAUGCAAGUAGAACGCUGAAACUUGGUGCUUGCACCGAGCGGAUGAGUUGCGAACGGGUGAGUAACGCGUAGGUAACCUGCCUGGUAGCGGGGGAUAACUAUUGGAAACGAUAGCUAAUACCGCAUAAGAGUAGAUGUUGCAUGACAUUUGCUUAAAAGGUGCAAUUGCACCACUACCAGAUGGACCUGCGUUGUAUUAGCUAGUUGGUGGGGUAACGGCUCACCAAGGCGACGAUACAUAGCCGACCUGAGAGGGUGAUCAGCCACACUGGGAAUGAGACACGGCCCAGACUCCGACGGGAGGCAGCAGUAGGGAAUCUACGGCAAUGGACGGAAGUCUGACCGAGCAACGCCGCGUGAGUGAAGAAGGGUUUCAGAUCGUAAAGCUCUGUUGUAAGAGAAGAACGAGUGUGAGAGUGGAAAGUUCACACUGUGACGGUAUCUUACCAGAAAGGGACGGCUAACUACGUG